rnacentral:rRNA from 1 species
CGUCAGAACGAACGGCUGGUAGCGUGGAUUAGGCAUGCAAGUCGAACGGGAGUCGCCUGGGUAGCAAUAUUCGGGCGUGAGAGUGGCGGACUGGGGAGGAGCACGUGAGCAACCUGCCCUGGAGGAUGGGGAAAACCGUUGGAAACGACGGCUAAUACCGAAUGUGGCGCCGGACGGCAUCGUCCGGCCGCUGAAGGGGGCCGCAAGGCUCCCGCUCCGGGAUGGGCUCGCGCACCAUCAGCUUGUUGGCGGGGUAACGGCCCACCAAGGCUUACGGUUAGCUGGUCUGAGAGGAUGGCCAGCCCCACUGGGACUGAGACACUGCCCAGACUCCUACGGGAGGCUGCAGUCGAGGAUCAUUUGCAAUGGGCGAAAGCCUGACAAUGCGACGCUGCGUGGAGGAUGAAGGCCCUCGGGUCGUAAACUCCUGUCAUGGGGGAACAGGCGAGGGGCGCUAACACCGCCCUUAGUUGAGUGUACCCCAAGAGGAAUUGGCGGCUAACUCUGUGCCAGCCGCCGC